UCCGGUUGAUCCUGCCGGACCCCACUGCUAUCGGGAUGGGACUAAGACAUGUUAGUCGAGCGUCUCCAAGCUAUGAUGGAGGCGCGGCAUACAGCUCAGUAACACGUGGCUAACCUGCCCUUGGGACAAGGACAACCUCGGGAAACUGAGGCUAAUCCUUGAUAGGUGAGAACUCCUGGAAUGGAUUCUUGCUCAAAAGAUGCUUUGAUCAUGCUUCUAGGCAUCGCCCAAGGAGGGGGCCGCGGCCGAUCAGGUUGUUGGUGAGGUAACGGCUCACCAAGCCUUUGACCGGUACGGGCCGUGAGAGCGGAAGCCCGGAGAUGGGCACUGAGACAAUGGCCCAGGCCCUACGGGGCGCAGCAGUCGCGAAAACUCCGCAAUACACGAAAGUGUGACGGGGCCAUCCCGAGUGCCAUCCGCUGAGGAUAGCUUUUCCCCAGUGUAUAAAGCUGGGAGAAUAAGGAGAGGGCAAGCCUGGUGUCAGCCGCCGCGGUAAUACCAGCUCUCCGAGUGGUGGGGAUGUUUAUUGGGCCUAAAGCAUUCGUAGCCUGCUGGGCAAGUCCUCCGUUAAAUCCACCGAUUCAAUCGUUGGGCUGCGGGGGAUACUGUCUAGCUAGGGGGCGGAAGAGGCCGACGGUAUCCCCGGGGUAGGGGUGAAAUCCUAUAAUCCCGGGUGGACCACCAGUGGCGAAGGCUGUCGGCUAGAACGCGCUCGACGGUGAGGGAUGAAAGCUGGGGGAGCGAACCGGAUUAGAUACCCGGGUAGUCCCAGCUGUAAACGAUGCAGGCUAGGUGUUGGCGCGGCUACGUGCCGCUCCAGUGCCGCAGGGAAGCCGUUAAGCCUGCCGCCUGGGAAGUACGGCCGCAAGGCUGAAACUUAAAGGAAUUGGCGGGGGAGCAC
rnacentral:rRNA from 1 species